AUUGAACGCUGGCGGCAGGCCUAACACAUGCAAGUCGAACGAGUGGCGGACGGGUGAGUCAUGUCUGGGAAACUGCCCGAUUGAGGGGGAUAACUACUGGAAACGGUGGCUAAUACCGCAUACUAUCGGAUGUGCCCAGAUGGGAUUAGCUAGUAGGUGUGGUAACGGCUCACCUAGGCGACGAUCCCUAGCUGGUCUGAGCGGAUGAUCAGCCAGACUGGAACUGAGACACGGCCCAGACUCCUACGGGAGGCAGCAGUGGGGAAUAUUGCACAAUGGGCGCAAGCCUGAUGCAGCCAUGCCGCGUGUAUGAAGAAGGCCUUCGGGUUGUAAAGUACUUUCAGCGAGGAGGCGUUACUCGCAGAAGAAGCACCGGCUAACUCCGUGCCAGCAGCCGCGGUAAUUC
rnacentral:rRNA from 1 species